AUUGAACGCUGGCGGCAGGCCUAACACAUGCAAGUCGAACGAGUGGCGGACGGGUGAGUAAUGUCUGGGAAACUGCCUGAUGGAGGGGGAUAACUACGGGAAACGGUAGCUAAUACCGCAUACCCUCGGAUGUGCCCAGGUGGGAUUAGCUGGUUGGUGGGGUAACGGCUCACCAAGGCGACGAUCCCUAGCUGGUCUGAGAGGAUGACCAGCCACACUGGAACUGAUACACGGUCCAGAAUCCUACGGGAGGCAGCAGUGGGGAAUAUUGCACAAUGGGCGCAAGCCUGACGCAGCCAUGCCGCGUGUAUGAAGAAGGCCUUCGGGUUGUAAAGUACUUUCAGCGGGGAGGCGUUACCCGCAGAAGAAGCACCGGCUAACUCCGUGCCAGCAGCCGCGGUAAUUC
rnacentral:rRNA from 1 species